rnacentral:rRNA from 1 species
AGAGUUUGAUCCUGGCUCAGGACGAAUGCUGGCGGCGCGCCUAACACAUGCAAGUCGAACGGAGCUUAGAGAGCUUGCUUUUUAAGCUUAGUGGCGAACGGGUGAGUAACGCGUGAGUAACCUGCCCUAGAGUGGGGGACAACAGUUGGAAACGACUGCUAAUACCGCAUAAGCCCACGGUGCCGCAUGACACUGAGGGAAAAGGAUUUAUUCGCUUUAGGAUGGACUCGCGUCCAAUUAGCUAGUUGGUGAGGUAACGGCCCACCAAGGCGACGAUUGGUAGCCGGACUGAGAGGUUGAACGGCCACAUUGGGACUGAGACACGGCCCAGACUCCUACGGGAGGCAGCAGUGGGGGAUAUUGCACAAUGGGGGAAACCCUGAUGCAGCGACGCCGCGUGGAGGAAGAAGGUUUUCGGAUUGUAAACUCCUGUCGUUAGGGACGAUAAUGACGGUACCUAACAAGAAAGCACCGGCUAACUACGUGCCAGCAGCCGCGGUAAAACGUAGGGUGCAAGCGUUGUCCGGAAUUACUGGGUGUAAAGGGAGCGCAGGCGGGAAGACAAGUUGGAAGUGAAAACCAUGGGCUCAACCCAUGAAUUGCUUUCAAAACUGUUUUUCUUGAGUAGUGCAGAGGUAGAUGGAAUUCCCGGUGUAGCGGUGAAAUGCGUAGAGAUGGGGAGGAACACCAGUGGCGAAGGCGGUCUACUGGGCACCAACUGACGCUGAGGCUCGAAAGCAUGGGUAGCAAACAGGAUUAGAUACCCUGGUAGUCCAUGCCGUAAACGAUGAUUACUAGGUGUGGGGGGUCUGACCCCUUCCGUGCCGGAGUUAACACAAUAAGUAAUCCACCUGGGGAGUACGGCCGCAAGGUUGAAACUCAAAGGAAUUGACGGGGGCCCGCACAAGCAGUGGAGUAUGUGGUUUAAUUCGAAGCAACGCGAAGAACCUUACCAGGUCUUGACAUCCAACUAACGAAGUAGAGAUACAUUAGGUGCCCUUCGGGGAAAGUUGAGACAGGUGGUGCAUGGUUGUCGUCAGCUCGUGUCGUGAGAUGUUGGGUUAAGUCCCGCAACGAGCGCAACCCUUGCUAUUAGUUGCUACGCAAGAGCACUCUAAUAGGACUGCCGUUGACAAAACGGAGGAAGGUGGGGACGACGUCAUAUCAUCAUGCCCCUUAUGAUUUGGGCUACACACGUGCUACAAUGGCGUAAACAAAGGGAAGCGAGAUUGUGAGAUGGAGCAAAUCCCAAAAAUAACGUCCCAGUUCGGACUGUAGUCUGCAACCCGACUACACGAAGCUGGAAUCGCUAGUAAUCGCGGAUCAGAAUGCCGCGGUGAAUACGUUCCCGGGUCUUGUACUCACCGCCCGUCA